AGCUAUUCUAAUGUGUAGCCAGUGCUGAGACUCACUGAUCCAGUGGAACCCCUUAUUUUCAAGAGAGAAUAAAUCAUUUGGCCAAUGAGAGGGAAGAGAGGUCGAGAGGGAAUGAGUACAGCAGGUGUGAAAACUGAGACUAUAAGUAGGUAGAACAAGACCCUUAAGAUCUGAACGUCUAACUGCAUUUGGAUAAGCCAGGAAGGUCUUCAAGGAUGAAUAGGAGUUUGCAGGCGCAGACUUUUUCUCAUCACACGCGGACGGUGCUAGUGCAGAAUGGGCAGGCCGGGGAGUGGCAGAAGAGGAGUCUGGCGUGGCAGUAUUCUCAUUUUACAGAUGAGAAAACCCAAGCUUGGAAAGAUAAAGCAACUGAGAGAGACCAGAGUCAAAGCCAUGAUUUCACCUUCGAAGACCAUAUUCCUUCCCUAGUAACGUGACAUUUAUGUGCCAAAUCGAACCCUGAGGGCGUAGCUGGAAUUGAACUCCAGACCGGAAGAAAUGAAAUCUACAGCCGUGGAUGUACUGCACAGAAACAUGGCAUGCUUCUGACAGCAGCUUAAAACUCUUCCAAAUCAACAACUUUUCUGAGUAUGGUUUUCUUUUGCAGCAGUUGGAUUUUUAUGGGCAGUCAUUAAAUACACAGCGAAAAUGUACUAUAGAUAUACCAAAAACGGACAAUACGCUGUAUAGAAAAAAUUAUGUAACUGCUUUCCUAUGCUUGAGGUGGCUCUUAUAGCUCAAGAUAUGCCGACGGGGGAUUUAUUUUUUAACUUGUUUACUGAAGAUUUGUUCCAACUGAACAUAACACAGAGCAAACUGUAUCCUUAACAGCCUCCAAAAAGAUGCAUUCUUAAAUACUGUAACUAAUACUUAAGUAAACACUGUUUCUGAAAUAUUCAUUUUGACACACUUAUAAAUCAAAAUUUGAAUUAGCAGAAGUUUAAAACACACGUGGCUUUUAAAUUACUAUAUAAAAAGACAUAAAGAGCUAGAAAGUAUUAUGCUCCAAGGCAAAUGGCCAAAAUGUUUUUUUUUUUUUUAAAAGCUUGAACAACUUCAUUUCCCAAGUUUAUUCAAAAUGAAUGAUUCUGAGAGAAUAAGAACUGAUUGGAAGAUUAAUUUUAAACUGAGAUGAUUUCCAUACUUAGCAAAUACUGGGUUAAAAACAAAUUCUAAUUUUGUUGACUCAUAAAUUAGCAUUUGAUUUACAUGUUACAAAGUAAAUAUUUGUAAACAGACUAAACAAAUGUCUUAUUUAACAGAUAAAAAAAGACACUGUACUCCUACUUCCAGGUUCUGUAAGGCAGACAGGGAAACGAGGAAGGGAAAAGAAAGAAAGAGGGAAGUCUCUUCUAUUUUCUAGCUCUUUAUUCUCUGUGAUACUAGGAAUCAGUAGAAUUUAAAUUUAAACAAGGUGUUUUACUAAAUUUACAAGUAUCACAAACACACACAAAAAGCUAAAGUUUAAUUUACCUGUCUAAGAUCUCAUGGCUAGUUAAGUAGCAGAUGGGACCAGGUAGCUAGUUACCAGGUAGAUAGUUGGUAAACUGAAAAGACUCAGUUAAAAGAGGAGUUGUUGGCCUAUAAAUAGAGGACAAACUGAUGGUUGCCAGAGUUUGCCAGAUGAUGGAGGGGAAUGGGAGGUACAGGCUUCUAGUUCUAGAAUGAUUAAACCACAGGGAUGAAAGGGCCAGCAUCAGGAAUAGAGUUGAUGGUAGUAACUGCACUGUACGGUGACAAGACAGCCGUACUUGCAAUGAGCCUAGAGUUGUUGCCCAGAGUGCAGAACUGCUGAAUUGCUAUGUUAGACACCUGAAACUCGUGUAACAACACUGUAUAUUAGCUAUACUCAAACAUUCUUUUAAACAAGAGGAGUCGUUAAGGAUAAUACAUAUAAAUCUUGACACAUUCUCUUUUAAAUCAGAGUCUAUAAAUGUCCUCUGGUUUUGCCAGUCUUCCACUACAGGGGCAAGGCCUUCUCUCUCCACAUGUAUCAGCUGUCUGGCGUAAACAACCACGGUCUAUGAACUUGAGUUUCAAUUUUUUAUACAGUGGAACAAAAAUUUAAAGGAUUUUAAGUAAAGAACUAUAUUUUACAAUUUUUAAUCCGAUUUUCCCAUUUCUCUCACACACCUGAUUCAAUAGUAUUAAGUAAAUGACUGUGUUUCCAAAUAUUUAACUUUUUUUGCACUCGUAUUUCAUCACUUUAUGUAACAUUUAGUUAAACUAUGUAAUUAUGAUUACUCCUGCUACUGGCAUAAACGGAUUUGGGAAUAAACACAGCUGAUUUUGGGUUAGCAUACAACUUCAUCAGUGAGAACAGAAAUGCAUACCAGACUUCAGUGUCACCUCCUGUCCCAAGACAAAGGGCCUGGUGAAGGUCAGUAAACCAGCACACUGGACCAGUGGAGAAGAGAUAAAAGAAGUUCUACCACAAAGCA